rnacentral:rRNA from 1 species
AUAUCAAUAAGCGGAGGAAAAGAAACUAACAAGGAUUCCCUAGUAACUGCGAGUGAAGCGGGAAAGCUCAAAUUUGAAAUCUGACGGUUACGCCGUCCGAGUUGUACUCUGGAGAAGCGUUUUCCGUGCCGGACCGUGUACAAGUCCCUUGGAACAGGGCGUCGUAGAGGGUGAGAAUCCGUCUUUGACACGGACCCCCGGUGCUAUGCGAUGCGCUCUCGAAGAGUCGAGUUGUCUGGGAAUGCAGCUCAAAAUGGGUGGUAAAUUCCAUCUAAAGCUAAAUAUUGGCGAGAGACCGAUAGCGAACAAGUACCGUGAGGGAAAGAUGAAAAGCACUUUGGAAAGAGAGUAAAACAGUAC